CGCGCAGGCGGUCUUGUCCGUCAGGUGUGAAAGCUCGGGGCUCAACCCCGGAAGUGCACUUGAAACAGCAAGACUUGAAUACGGGAGAGGAGAGAGGAAUUCCUGUGUAGAGGUGAAAUUCGUAGAUAUCAGGAGGAACACCGAUGGCGAAGGCAUCUCUCUGGACCGAUAUUGACGCUGAGGCGCGAAGGCGUGGGUAGCGAACG
rnacentral:rRNA from 1 species